AUUGAACGCUGGCGGCAGGCCUAACACAUGCAAGUCGAACGAGUGGCGGACGGGUGGGUAAUGUCUGGGAAACUGCCUGAUGGAGGGGGAUCACUACUGGAAACGGUAGCUAAUACCGCAUUCCCUCGGAUGUGCCAAGAUGGGAUUAGCUAGUUGGUGGGGUAAAGGCUCAUUGAGGGGACGAUCCCUCGCUGGUCUGAGAGGAUGACCAGCCACACUGGAACUGAGACACGGGCCAGACUCCUACGGGAGGCAGCAGUUGGGAAUAUUGCACAAUGGGCGCAAGCCUGAUGCAGCCAUGCCGCGUGUAUGAAGAAGGCCUUCGGGUUGUAAAGUUCUUUCAGCGGGGAAGCGUUACCCGUAGAAGAAGCACCGGCUAACUCCGUGCCAGCAGCCGCGGUAAUAC
rnacentral:rRNA from 1 species